rnacentral:rRNA from 1 species
GACGAACGCUGGCGGCGUGCCUAAUACAUGCAAGUCGAACGCAGUGGGGACGGGUGAGUAACACGUGGGUAACCUCCCAUCAGAAGGGAUAACACUUGGAAACAGGUGCUAAACCGAUACUGAUCGCUGAACCCGCGGUGCAUUAGCUAGUUGGUGAGGUAACGGCUCACCAAGGCCACGAUGCAUAGCAGACUCGAGAGCGUGAGAGGAAUAACUGGGACUGAGAGACGGCUCAUACUCCAAGGGGAGCAACCGGUAGGGAAUCUUGGAUAAUGAAGGAAAGAAGGAAAAGGUAAUGCUGCGUGAGGGAAGAAGGCUUUCGGUUGGUAAGACCAUGUUGUUAGAAAAGCGGUAUCUAACCAGAAAGCAACGGCUAACUACGUGCCAGCAGCCGCGGUAAUUC